rnacentral:rRNA from 1 species
UACGUAGGGUGCAAGCGUUACUCGGAAUUACUGGGCGUAAAGCGUGCGUAGGUGGUUCGUUAAGUCUGAUGUGAAAGCCCUGGGCUCAACCUGGGAAUGGCAUUGGAAACUGGCGAUCUAGAGUGCGGUAGAGGGUAGUGGAAUUCCCGGUGUAGCAGUGAAAUGCGUAGAGAUCGGGAGGAACAUCUGUGGCGAAGGCGACACCCUGGACCAGCACUGACACUGAGGCACGAAAGCGUGGGGAGCAAACAGG